rnacentral:misc_RNA from 1 species
GAUGAAGAACGUAGCGAAAUGCGAUAAGUAAUGUGAAUUGCAGAAUUCAGUGAAUCAUCGAAUCAUUGAACGCACAUUGCGCCCUGUGGUAUUCCGCAGGGCAUGCCUGUUCGAGCGUCAUUUCAACCCUCAAGCCCCGCUUGGUGUUGGGCCCCGCCCGCUGUGGCCGGCCCUAAAGACAGUGGCGGCGCCGCCUGGCCCUCAGCGUAGUACAUCUCUCGCUCCAGGGUCCGGUGGCCGCCUGCCAGAACCCCCCAACUCUGUGGUUGACCUCGGAUCAGGUAGGGAUACCCGCUGAACUUAAGCAUAUCAAUAAGCGGAGGA